rnacentral:rRNA from 1 species
UACGUAGGGUGCGAGCGUUAAUCGGAAUUACUGGGCGUAAAGCGCGCGUAGGUGGUUUGUUAAGUCUGAUGUGAAAGCCCGCGGCUCAACCGUGGAAUUGCCAUUGAAACUGCAUAGCUUGAGUACAGUUGAAGUGGGCGGAAUAUGUCAUGUAGCGGUGAAAUGCUUAGAUAUGACAUAGAACACCGAUUGCGAAGGCAGCUCACUAAGCUGUAACUGACACUGAGGCACGAAAGCGUGGGUAGCGAACAGG